rnacentral:rRNA from 1 species
CCUACGGGUGGCAGCAGUGAGGAAUAUUGGUCAAUGGACGCUAGCCUGAACCAGCCAAGUAGCGUGAAGGAUGACUGCCCUAUGGGUUGUAAACUUCUUUUAUAUAGGAAUAAAACGAGGCAUGUGUGCUUCUUUGCAUGUACCUUAUGAAUAAGGAUCGGCUAACUCCGUGCCAGCAGCCGCGGUAAUACGGAGGAUCCGAGCGUUAUCCGGAUUUAUUGGGUUUAAAGGGAGCGUAGAUGGGUUGUUAAGUCAGUUGUGAAAGUUUGCGGCUCAACCGUAAAAUUGCAAUUGAUACUGGCAGUCUUGAGUACAGUUGAGGUAAGCGGAAUUCGUGGUGUAGCGGUGAAAUGCUUAGAUAUCACGAAGAACCCCGAUUGCGAAGGCAGCUUGCUAAACUGUGACUGACAUUGAUGCUCGAAAGUGUGGGUAUCAAACAGGAUUAGAUACCCUAGUAGUC